CCUACGGGGGGCUGCAGUGGGGAAUAUUUGACAAUGGGGGCAACCCUGAUCCAGCCAUGCCGCGUGUGUGAAGAAGGCCCUCGGGUUGUAAAGCACUUUCAGUGAGGAAGAACGCCUGGUGGUUAAUACCCAUCAGGAAAGACAUCACUCACAGAAGAAGCACCGGCUAACUCCGUGCCAGCAGCCGCGGUAAUACGGAGGGUGCGAGCGUUAAUCGGAAUUACUGGGCGUAAAGCGCGCGUAGGUGGCUUGAUAAGCCGGUUGUGAAAGCCCCGGGCUCAACCUGGGAACGGCAUCCGGAACUGUCAAGCUAGAGUGCAGGAGAGGAAGGUAGAAUUCCCGGUGUAGCGGUGAAAUGCGUAGAGAUCGGGAGGAAUACCAGUGGCGAAGGCGGCCUUCUGGACUGACACUGACACUGAGGUGCGAAAGCGUGGGUAGCAAACAGGAUUAGAUAUCCGAGUAGUC
rnacentral:rRNA from 1 species